GCACCCCACGAGUUACCCACCAGAUGACCGUUCCAAACGAGACUAGAGGAAAUGAAUACACAUGUCAACAAAGAGAGUUAUGAAGGCUCUAAGCAUAUCUAUAAAAUCAAUUCUUCGUAUGCCUUAAGAGCUGCAACAGCAACACUCAAAGAAAACUAAUGCGAAACAGAAAACAAGCAAAGAACACAAGAUCACAACUAAAAGUUCUGUAAAACUAAUCCGCGCAGAUCAACCAUCAUCCCUCACCAAUCAAGCCCAAUCUGCAUGCAAAAAGAGGUCAUUCUAACUUAUUUACAACCCCACUCGGAGAUGAUGAGGGAGAGAACCACUCUCCGGGAAAGGGAAUGAAGGGUAUCCCUGGCCAAAAGGGGCAGAAGAAGGCCGCAAAUCGACCAGGAACAAGUGACCUGAACUUGCAAAGGAGAAGAGCAAAGAUUAAAGUCGAAGGUUGAGACCAUUGACUUCAAAUUGCCUAAGAUUGAAGUCAACGUUGUUUUCCAGUCCACUCCUCGGUGGAACCUAGUUGACGCUCACCUGGACGCUUGCAUGCACUGGCUGUUGAAGCCUCGCCUUUCCUCGUCGUUGCUCUAGGUCUUCUCAUCCUGUUUGUAUAUUUUAGCUUAUGGGUGUUUUUUGAAUUUUCAUCUAUUCUGUUUCGUGUGUUUCUUAAAUGGGCUUCUAUUCUUCAAUUAGUUAUUUGUUGAAUUGCUUGUAAUUGCAAUAUGUGAGGCUUUAAAUAGAAUAUGGACAUGUAGCUUUUGAAUAGAAUCUGGACAUGUAGCUUGUAAACUACAAUUUUGAUUAUAGAUCUGG
rnacentral:misc_RNA from 1 species